UACGUAGGGGGCAAGCGUUGUUCGGAUUUACUGGGCGUAAAGGGCGCGUAGGCGGCGUGACAAGUCACUUGUGAAAUCUCCGGGCUUAACCCGGAAAGGUCAGCCGAUACUGCGGGGCUAGAGUGCAGAAGGGGCAACUGGAAUUCUCGGUGUAGCGGUGAAAUGCGUAGAUAUCGAGAGGAACACCUGCGGCGAAGGCGGGUUGCUGGGCUGACACUGACGCUGAGGCGCGAAAGCUAGGGGAGCGAACGGG
rnacentral:rRNA from 1 species